rnacentral:rRNA from 1 species
GAUCCUGGUUCAGGACGAACGCUGGCGGCGUGCCUAACACAUGCAAGUCGAACGGAACUGUUUUGAAAGAUUUCUUCGGAAUGAAUUUGAUUUAGUUUAGUGGCGGACGGGUGAGUAACGCGUGAGUAACCUGCCUUCAAGAGGGGGAUAACAUUCUGAAAAGAAUGCUAAUACCGCAUGACAUAUCGGAACCACAUGGUUUUGAUAUCAAAGAUUUUAUCGCUUGAAGAUGGACUCGCGUCCGAUUAG